rnacentral:rRNA from 1 species
CGAGUGGCGGACGGGUGAGUAAUGUCUGGGAAACUGCCUGAUGGAGGGGGAUAACUACUGGAAACGGUAGCUAAUACCGCAUAACGUCGCAAGACCAAAGAGGGGGACCUUCGGGCCUCUUGCCAUCGGAUGUGCCCAGAUGGGAUUAGCUGUAGGUGGGGUAACGGCUCACCUAGGCGACGAUCCCUAGCUGGUCUGAGAGGAUGACCAGCCACACUGGAACUGAGACACGGUCCAGACUCCUACGGGAGGCAGCAUG